AGAAUUUUUAUUCACAUUUUAUGAACUCUCCCAAGAUCUCACAAUUAAGUACUAGUGAAAAUGGGACUCAAACACCAGUCUUCUGACUUCUCUCUCCUCAGGUCACCAGCAACCCUCCCUCAGAGAAUGGACUGCCCUGGCCUUCCAACUAGUUCUGUUGCCACAUGAUAUUGUGUCUCAGCUUUUUCAUCCGAAAAAUGGGGUGUUUGAUGGGAUAAAUGCCAAGAUCUUUUCCAGCUCCAGAAUAUUGUUCUUGUGGAAGAAGAGAAUAAAGAGCAUCUAGGAAUGAGGCAAAUGAUACUUCCAGUUUGGGUAUUUAUUUGCUCUGCAGCCGUGGCCUGAGCUUACCUGAACUCAGUUCUCAUUGGCUCCAUUCAGUGUUUCGGGGAAGCCUACCGUGGCCAGGCCCUGUGCUGACGCAGCCCUCAGUGCCAUCCUGCCUCUUGUAGCUCAGAUCAUGACAUGAAGAUCAGGCUUCCUCAUCCCAAAUUUCUUGCUUUCGCUACCCCGGGACUACUAUAGGGAAAGCAGCAAGUUGGGAAGAAUGCAUGCAAGCUGUGGCUUAGGCAGACCUGGCGUGGAUCCCAGUGCUCAGCACUGCCUCUCAACAGCUGUUGAUCCCUAGGUAUCCAACCACCCGCUUCAGUGUUCUCAAGUGAAAAUGGGGUAAUAAGAUUGCACCUCAUAGGACUUUCUGAGGAUGAAAUAGGCAGUGGAGCUGCCAUCUUGGUCCUGCACAAUACUGCAGAGCAGAUGAAGGUGCCCUUGGAACACCCUUCCAAUUUUUGGUGUCUGCUCUUCCUCUCUCCACCUUACCCUCAUUUUCUGCAGCCAACAAUGUUGUAGACCCUUCUCAAACACCUAGUGCUUCUCCCCACCCAUUUGAUGUAUUUGCCUUAUUUGCUAAGAACAGAUGACCCUAAGCCAGUUGUGGAACAAAUCACCUUGUGUGUUUCCCCUCCCAUGCCAAG
rnacentral:lncRNA from 1 species